UACGGGGGGGGCAAGCGUUGUUCGGAAUUACUGGGCGUAAAGGGCGCGUAGGCGGCCUGCUAAGUCUGGCGUGAAAGCUCUCGGCUAAACCGGGAGAGGUCGUUGGAUACUGGUUGACUAGAGGACGGUAGAGGCGUGUGGAAUUCCGGGUGUAGUGGUGAAAUGCGUAGAGAUCCGGAGGAACACCAGUGGCGAAGGCGACACGCUGGGCCGUACCUGACGCUGAGGCGCGAAAGCGUGGGGAGCAAACAGG
rnacentral:rRNA from 1 species